CAUGCCCAGCCUCUUGCAUAGGAAGAAGUGGUAAGCUAAGGAGAGAAAUGCAGGGUUCCUAGUACACCAAUUUUGCAACUUUUUCAUCUUGGCCCUGCUUUAAAAUGAUGCAUCUACUGUCUUCAUGCCUCAGCACAGCAGAGAAAACCAUGCUGUGUUCCAGUUUACUUUGAAUGUUUCAGUGAAAAUGAUGAAGCUGAAAAAAUGAUGGAGGCCCGUUUUACAUGGUCACCUGAAUGUGGAAAAGUUGAGUUGGAGCAAAACUGGCAUGGCCGUACUGGAUGGACCUCAGCAUGACCAGGACACAUUUCAGCUCAAAUCCCCUGUGCCAAGAACACAUUCUGCCAAGGACCACCACCUCUUCCCACAACUGUGAGUGGAUUUAUGUCAUCACAGGAGGUGCAAAAACGUGUGGUGAGGUAAGUGAAUUGGAUGUCCUUGGCUGCCUGAGCAAGAGGGCAACUUUCCUGCCUUUAGAAUAGAGAAAACACAGCAGGAUAAUUAAGAGCAUGAGACUUUGGUUCCAACAGACAGUGGCUUCUCCUUCCCUAAAUUGCCCUUAUUUUGUAGUAAGUUAUAACAUGUUUAUUUUCUACCACCUUAUUACUUCACUACGUGAACCAAAAAUAAAAUCCUAAAGCCAACCAUCUGAAUGGACCUCUCCUUUCAGCCAGGGUAUUCCAAAGUUAACCUGAAAAACUGGUUCAGGCCAGAAUGGGAAGUGGGGUUCGGGCAGGCCUCAUUAUACUUUCCUCCCUUUUGGAAUUCAGGAAAAGCCAACCACCAUUUGACAUCAACACAGACCUUAAGUCUGACAAGAAACAUUUACAAUCUAUUCUCUCUGAAGUCUGCUACGUGGAGGCUUCAUCUGCACGAAAAAACUUUGGUCUCCACAACCCCUUAUUAUAAUUCAGACAUUUAUUCCUUUCUAUUGCUAAUAACUCUUUCAAUGAGUUGCCAAUCAGGAAAUUUUUAAAUAUACCUAUAACCUAGAAGCACUUCCCCCAGACAACACUUCAAGUUUUCCUGCCUUUCCAGACCAAGCCAAUGUAUAUCUUACAUGUACUGACUGAUGUCUCAUGUCUUCCUAAAACGUAUAAAACUAGGCUGUGUCCUGAGCACCUUGAACACAUGCUCUCAGGAUCUCCUGAGGGCUGUAUCACAGGCAUUGGUCACUCAUAUUUGGCUCAGAAUAAAUCUCUUUAAAUAUUUUACAGAGAUUGACUCUUUGUUGACAGUUACGUACAUGAGGCUACUAUGUAUCAUAUACUUCUUGUGUGCCAGGCCCUAUAUUAGAUGUUUUAUCAACACAAUUUCAUGUCAUUUUCACAACAACCCUACGAAUAAAUACCAUGUAUUUGGUUGUGAGACACUGAGGCACUAAGUGAUUAUGUCACUUGUCUAGGUUCACUUAUCUAGUGUUGGGGCCUGGAUCCAAGCCUAGGCAGGCUGACUUCAGAGACAACCCCACGCUGGGCUAUAUUCUUAGAAAAGUCACAGCUCUUAGCACAUGGAACACACUGGAAUCUGAAAGACCCAGCAUGGCAAGCCUUCAGCUUCAUGGGAAUGAGCCUAUCCCAGUUUCUCUGAGACUACAAAAUGGCACCAUCCUAUCCACAUUGCAGGGUUGAGCUGUGAAUUCCAGAGAAUCUCUGUGGGGUAUCUGUGCCCAGCACCUCCUAAAUAGUUGCUUAUUCAUGGACUCUGUGUAGGAUUUACAUCAUCUACAUUUU